rnacentral:rRNA from 1 species
GCGGAAGCCUGAUGCAGCAACGCCGCGUGAGGGAUGACGGCCUUCGGGUUGUAAACCUCUUUUAGCAGGGAAGAAGCGAGAGUGACGGUACCUGCAGAAAAAGCGCCGGCUAACUACGUGCCAGCAGCCGCGGUAAUACGUAGGGCGCAAGCGUUAUCYGGAAUUAUUGGGCGUAAAGAGCUCGUAGGCGGUCUGUCGCGUCUGCUGUGAAAACCCGAGGCUCAACCUCGGGCCUGCAGUGGGUACGGGCAGACUAGAGUGCGGUAGGGGAGAUUGGAAUUCCUGGUGUAGCGGUGGAAUGCGCAGAUAUCAGGAGGAACACCGAUGGCGAAGGCAGAUCUCUGGGCCGUAACUGACGCUGAGGAGCGAAAGGGUGGGGAGCAAACAGGCUUAGAUACCCUGGUAGUCCACCCCGUAAACGUUGGGAACUAGUUGUGGGGACCUUUCCACGGUCUCCGUGACGCAGCUAACGCAUUAAGUCCCCGCCUGGG